UCCAAGUGCUUUCAUUCUGUGUGGUCCGGU
rnacentral:piRNA from 1 species